rnacentral:rRNA from 1 species
AUUGAACGCUGGCGGUAUGCUUAACACAUGCAAGUCGAACGGUAACAGGUCUUCGGAUGCUGACGAGUGGCGGACGGGUGAGUAACGCGUAGGAAUCUGCCUUAUAGUGGGGGACAACUUGUGGAAACGCAAGCUAAUACCGCAUACGCCCUACGGGGGAAAGGAGGGGAUCUUCGGACCUUUCGCUAUGAGAUGAGCCUGCGUUAGAUUAGCUAGUUGGUGGGGUAAAGGCCUACCAAGGCGACGAUCUAUAGCUGUUCUGAGAGGAAGAUCAGCCACACUGGGACUGAGACACGGCCCAGACUCCUACGGGAGGCAGCAGUGGGGAAUAUUGGACAAUGGGCGAAAGCCUGAUCCAGCAAUACCGCGUGUGUGAAGAAGGCCUUAGGGUUGUAAAGCACUUUCAAUUGGGAGGAAAAAAAUUAAGCUAAUACCUUAAUUCUUGACAUUACCUAUACAAGAAGCACCGGCUAACUCCGUGCCAGCAGCCGCCGUAAGAC